UGGGGAAUAUUGGACAAUGGGCGCAAGCCUGAUCCAGCAAUGCCGCGUGUGUGAAGAAGGCCUUCGGGUCGUAAAGCACUUUUAUCAGGAGCGAAACGCUGUCGGCUAAUACCCGGCGGAACUGACGGUACCUGAGGAAUAAGCACCGGCUAACUUCGUGCCAGCAGCCGCGGUAAUACGAAGGGUGCAGCGUUAAUCGGAAUUACUGGGCGUAAAGCGUGCGUAGGCGGUUUCUUAAGUCUGCUGUGAAAUCCCCGGGCUCAACCUGGGAAUGGCAGUGGAUACUGGGAGGCUAGAGUGUGUCAGAGGGUGGUGGAAUUCCCGGUGUAGCGGUGAAAUGCGUAGAGAUCGGGAGGAACAUCAGUGGCGAAGGCGGCCACCUGGGACAACACUGACGCUGAGGCACAAAAAGCGUGGGGAGCAAAACAGGAUUAGAUACCCUGGUAGUCCACGCCCUAAACGAUGCGAACUGGAUGUUGGUCUCAACUCGGAGAUCAGUGUCGAAGCUAACGCGUUAAGUUCGCCGCCUGGGGAGUACGGUCGCAAGACUGAAACUCAAAUGAAUUGAC
rnacentral:rRNA from 1 species